ACCUCUACGUACAAAAGAUAAAUGAUCUCUUUGCAGACAAUCUGAAAAGUUUAUAUAAGGCUGCAACCUUAUACUGAUGAAGUAAGGUGCACCUCAAAAAUCCUAUAGAAGGGAGUAUUUGUGUAGGAGAACCCUCCAAGUAAUCAUCUUGACAUCGAGAUGAAUGGACAUGAAGAAAAAAAGAAUUUCAAGUCCAAAAAAAGUGCAUCUUGUAACAAGUUAUCUGGACG
rnacentral:lncRNA from 1 species